rnacentral:rRNA from 1 species
GUGGUAGGAGAGCGUUCUAUUCAGCGUUGAAGGUAUACCGGUAAGGAGUGCUGGAGCGGAUAGAAGUGAGCAUGCAGGCAUGAGUAGCGAUAAAAGGGGUGAGAAUCCCCUUCGCCGUAAACCCAAGGUUUCCUACGCGAUGCUCGUCAUCGUAGGGUUAGUCGGGUCCUAAGCAAAGUCCGAAAGGGGUAUGCGAUGGAAAAUCGGUUAAUAUUCCGAUACCAAUAUUAGUGUGCGAUGGAAGGACGCUUAAAGUUAGUGGAGCUAGCGGAUGGAAGUGCUAGUCUAAGGAUGUAGAUUAAGUGGUAGGCAAAUCCGCCACUUUUUAUUCGAGAUCUUAAAGGCUCUCCAAAGUCUUCGGAUAGCGGGGAGAAUCCAUGAUACUAUCGAGCCAAGAAAAGUUUCUAAGUUUAGCUAAUAUUGCCCGUACCGUAAACCGACACAGGUGGGUGGGAUGAGUAUUCUAAGGCGCGUGGAAGAACUCUCUUUAAGGAACUCUGCAAAAUAGCACCGUAUCUUCGGUAUAAGGUGUGCCUAACUUUGUAUUAAGAUUUACUCCCAAAGCAAAGAAGGUUACAACAAAGAGUCCCUCCCGACUGUUUACCAUAAACACAGCACUCUGCUAACUCGUAAGAGGAUGUAUAGGGUGUGACGCCUGCCCGGUGCUCGAAGGUUAAUUGAUGGGGUUAGCAUUAGCGAAGCUCUUGAUCGAAGCCCGAGUAAACGGCGGCCGUAACUAUAACGGUCCUAAGGUAGCGAAAUUCCUUGUCGGUUAAAUACCGACCUGCAUGAAUGGCGUAACGAGAUGGGAGCUGUCUCAAAGAGGGAUCCAGUGAAAUUGUAGUGGAGGUGAAAAUUCCUCCUACCCGCGGCAAGACGGAAAGACCCCGUGGACCUUUACUACAGCUUGACACUGCUAUUUGGAUAAAGAUGCGCAGGAUAGGUGGGAGGCUUUGAUCCAUAGAUUCCGGUUUAUGGUGAGCCAUUGUUGAGAUACCACUCUUCUUUAUUUGAGUAGCUAACUAGCUUGCGUUAUCCGCAAGUAGGACAAUGUCUGGUGGGUAGUUUGACUGGGGCGGUCGCCUCCCAAAAUGUAACGGAGGCUUACAAAGGUUGGCUCAGAACGGUUGGAAAUCGUUCGUAGAGUAUAAAGGCAUAAGCCAGCUUAACUGCGAGACGUACAUGUCAAGCAGAGACGAAAGUCGGUCUUAGUGAUCCGGUGGUUCUGUGUGGAAGGGCCAUCGCUCAAAGGAUAAAAGGUACCCCGGGGAUAACAGGCUGAUCUCCCCCAAGAGCUCACAUCGACGGGGAGGUUUGGCACCUCGAUGUCGGCUCAUCGCAUCCUGGGGCUGGAGCAGGUCCCAAGGGUAUGGCUGUUCGCCAUUUAAAGCGGUACGCGAGCUGGGUUCAGAACGUCGUGAGACAGUUCGGUCCCUAUCUGCCGUGGGCGUAAGAAGAUUGAGGAGAGUUGACCCUAGUACGAGAGGACCGGGUUGAACCAGCCACUGGUGUAUCAGUUGUUCUGCCAAGAGCAUCGCUGAGUAGCUAAGCUGGGAUGUGAUAAGAGCUGAAAGCAUCUAAGCUCGAAGCCAACUCCAAGAUGAAUCUUCUUUUAAGAGCUCUAGUAGACUACUAGUUUGAUAGGCUGGGUGUGUAAGUGAUGAAAGUCAUUUAGCUGACCAGUACUAAUAGCUCGUUUGCUUAUCUUUAU